rnacentral:rRNA from 1 species
UGGGGAAUUUUGGACAAUGGGCGAAAGCCUGAUCCAGCCAUGCCGCGUGCAGGAUGAAGGCCUUCGGGUUGUAAACUGCUUUUGUACGGAACGAAAAGCCUCUUUCUAAUAAAGAGAGGUCAUGACGGUACCGUAAGAAUAAGCACCGGCUAACUACGUGCCAGCAGCCGCGGUAAUACGUAGGGUGCAAGCGUUAAUCGGAAUUACUGGGCGUAAAGCGUGCGCAGGCGGUUUUGUAAGACAGAGGUGAAAUCCCCGGGCUCAACCUGGGAACUGCCUUUGUGACUGCAAGGCUGGAGUGCGGCAGAGGGGGAUGGAAUUCCGCGUGUAGCAGUGAAAUGCGUAGAUAUGCGGAGGAACACCGAUGGCGAAGGCAAUCCCCUGGGCCUGCACUGACGCUCAUGCACGAAAGCGUGGGGAGCAAACAGGAUUAGAUACCCUGGUAGUCCACGCCCUAAACGAUGUCAACUGGUUGUUGGGUCUUCACUGACUCAGUAACGAAGCUAACGCGUGAAGUUGACCGCCUGGGGAGUAC